ACAACUGAUUAGAUGCUAAGUACAAUCCGCACAUGCGAACCUCGACGUAGGAUGUUACAAUAGUUCCCCUGAACAUACUCUCAGUGCAACAUGAUUGAAAUUAGGAUUUUCUGUUGUCUCGCCGUGAUCGCGGUAGCGAUAGCCGCACCACAGAAACCUGCGGAGCAGGUCAUUGCCAUACUGAAGCAAGAGUUUGACCAGCAAGCAGAUGGCUCGUAUAUUUACAACUAUGAAACCGAAAAUGGCAUUAAAGCGCAAGAGCAGGGACAGCUGAAGAAGGCCAGCAGCCCCGAUGCUAGUGACGUCAUCGUAGCCCAGGGUAGCUUCAGCUAUACUGCGCCUGAUGGAACUGUCAUAAACCUGAACUAUGUAGCCGAUGAUGAGGGCGGAUUUAAGCCUGAGGGCGCCCAUCUGCCAACCCCACCACCGAUACCACCAGCAAUACAGAAAGCCCUAGACUACAUCGCGGCCAACCCCCCACCACCACCGGGAAGAAACUAAGACUUGCUACAAACUCCUGCUCAACGAUAAAACUGCAUAGUUCCGUUAUGCUAAGUCCGAUACAUCAUACGAAACCAGCCAGAAUAGAUGUAGGCUGGUGAAGAUGUAACUAUUAUAUAGUAUGUUUGUCUUUAUGUGCGGUCAAACUGUGCAGUUUUAUCGAACUCUCUAUAGUGGACAUAAGCCGACUCCUUCUUGAACGACGACCUUGUACCGACAUUAAUCGCUUCCACUUCUUUGUAAAUACUCAUCAAACCUAACAAAUGGGAAACUAAGAAGCUAUUAACAAAAUGGUACUAUCAAUAUUAUACUCAGCAAUAUAAAAUGAACAAAAAUAGAAUAUGCUCAAGUAUCGAACUGUGAUAAACCAACGGACGGAUAUAUUAUUAAGUUGAAUAAAUGCAAAUCAGUGCCAAAGAUGCAUUGCAAAGGA